rnacentral:rRNA from 1 species
AUUGAACGCUGGCGGCAGGCCUAACACAUGCAAGUCGAGCGGAUGACGGGAGCUUGCUCCUUGAUUCAGCGGCGGACGGGUGAGUAAUGCCUAGGAAUCUGCCUGGUAGUGGGGGACAACGUUUCGAAAGGAACGCUAAUACCGCAUACGUCCUACGGGAGAAAGCAGGGGACCUUCGGGCCUUGCGCUAUCAGAUGAGCCUAGGUCGGAUUAGCUAGUAGGUGAGGUAAGGGCUCACCUAGGCGACGAUCCGUAACUGGUCUGAGAGGAGGAUCAGUCACACUGGAACUGAGAGACGGUCCAGACCCCUACGGGAGGCAGCAGGGGGGAAUAUUGGACAAUGGGCGAAAGCCUGGUCCAGCCAUGCCGCGUGUGUGAAGAAGGUCUUCGGAUUGUAAAGCACUUUAAGUUGGGAGGAAGGGCAGUAAGCUAAUACCUUGCUGUUUUGACGUUCCCGACAGAAUAAGCACCGGCUAACUCUGUGCCAGCCGCCGCUGUAACAC